UGUGUGUGUGUCCGCGCGCGCGCACGCGCGUGUGUCUCCGCGGCUUGAAGAAUCAUUUUCUCAAGACAAAGCUGCAGCCAUCGCCUGCGCGGUCCCCACCGUUUUUGCCCAGCUCCUAGAUAGAGAAUGGGUCAUGGCUUCGGUGAGACCUCUGAGAGCUGGCUGCAGGGAUAAAAGACACUCGAGUGUCAGACUCGGGGCCACAGAUGGGGUUGGCCAAGGGCUCCGCAGAGUUUUGGGCACAGGUGGGGAGCAAAACAUCUCCGCCAGAGAUGCAGGAGCCUGUUUCCGGCUGAGACUCGAACCCGGGUCCCUGCCUCAGCGGGGGAGCUUCCCUACCCGCGAGGCCACCGACGCGCAGCGGCCAGGCGCCCUCCCGCGACCCGUGACAGCGUGUCACAGCGCGGCAGAGCCGUGAGCCGCCGCCGCGCUCCUGGGCCGGGCACCCGAAGCCGGGGCCGGGCUGGCGGGCAGCUGAGUGCGGCGCGUGCGCUGCGGUCGGAGGAAGGGGCGAGCGAGGCACCAGCACCCGGCGGACGCAGGGGACGCCAAGGGACCCGAACCCUCGGCGCUGGCUCCGCAGUCAGACGCCCUCCUCCCCAGGCCACGCGCCGAGGACGCUCGGAAGGAGGGUUCGCCCUUCCCCGGGCGUCGGCGUCGGCAGGCGCCCCCCGCAGGGCGGGCGCGGUGGCUGCCGGAGUCGCCGGCGCCGCGGAGCCGACCGUGGACCGGCCUUGGCGCCAUCUAACAUGAGUCUGUGAAUCUUUAUGAAGAUUUCAAAAUGCCAAGGACAAGGUUAGACCUUGGGGAACAUGAUCACAACUCUUGAGUAUAGGGCUGUGCUAACUGGCAUCUGAAAAUGGAACUUUAAAAAUUAGACUUUUUUCCUUCUAGAAAUAAGCAACUUCUCCAGACUUCCUCCUGCCAAGCUAAUAACCAACACUCCCUCCUCUCCUCAGCCCAAAGCAGAUGCCGACUCUCGUAGGCAGGAGCCAGGUUCUUUUCCAGAAGAAAGGGGAGGAUGAACUGAAGGGAGCUGGAGCAAGUGUGGAGAUCAGCGCUGUCUGUGUGCCCCUCCCUGCUCCUCACGCUAAGACCUUCACCCGCUGUACAAGGUGAGCUGAUGAGCUGGGGCAAAUCAGCAUCGAGUCGAUGCCUUUUCCUUUUUACCAAAAUAAAUGGCCUCCUUUGUUCUGAUCAUUGGCAAGCAAAUGAACUUGAGUGCAUGAUAGAUCAGCUGUUAAUACCAGCACUCAGCAAAGAAAGUUCCAAAACAGUGGUGGCACACCUGUGGCACGUGUGGUGCAGUGGGCAUGCAGAGUCCUUUCUGUCACCAAGCAUGGCCAAGUCAUCCCAGCGGUUGAGCAUCAUAUAACAGUUGUUUUUUUCUAAGCUAAAUCUCAGCAGUCAGGUUUAACUGCAGUCUUUGGGAUAAAUAAUGGCUGUAGUGGUUGUAGUUUGGGCAUGCAGUCUCUUCAAAGGUUGCAUCACUGUUCUAGAAUCUUCCAGGUCUUUCUGAUGUUCCAGGGGGAAAAGGAAUUGCCUACUGGUAAGGGUGGGGUGGGAGCAGUUUCACUGUGGCUGUCAACGGAGGGAGAACGUCACUGAGAUGUGGACAUGGGAAGCCAGGGCAGUAAAAUGACCAUUUUGCCUUCUGAAAGCACUCCUUGGGCAGCAGCCCAAAUAAUGGAUUGGAGAUGAGUGAGAAAGGCUGGGAGAUUACUUAGGGGGAAAUGGAAUGGUUCAAGGAGGAAAUUGGCAAGAUCUGACAGAGGUGACCAUAACGUUACCAGAGGAGGAACAAAACAAGAACUGUCCAGGAAGAGAACUCUGUAGGACCUGGUACCCAGCUGAGGGGAGAAGAGGGAAGAAGAGGAAGAGGAGAAAUGACAACUGAGGAUUCGGAUGAAAUGGUGGUAUCAUAGCCUUGGACAGGACGCGAAGGAGCAGAGUUCACAGUGGCUUCCUAAAGUCUGCUAUGCCUGCAGGGACCCCAGGAACUGGUUUAUUUUACUUGAAAUCAAUUUUUUUUUUUUGGUUUGGUUUCUGCUUUGGUGUUAUACUAGAAAAACCUUUCAGCCUAAAGAUUACAUACAUAUUAACCUAUCAAUUUUUGGUUUUUGUUUUUGUCUUUUUGACACACGGUCUCACCAUGCAGGUCAGGCUGGCAUUGAGCUCACUUUGUAGCCCAAGCUGGUCUUAAAUUUGCAACGAUCCUCCUGCCUCAGCCUCCCGAGUGCCGGGAUUACAAACGUGUGCCACCAUGCCCAUCUUCAAUUUUUGUUGUUUACCGUGACUUUAGCAUUUAAAUCUGUAGCUGGAAUUUGAUUUUAGUGUAAAGGAGGAACAUUUUUAUUAUUUUACAAACAUUUAAACCAGUCACUUCAGUGAUUCAAAAGGCUGAAUUACAUAAGCACUUACGUGCAUACAGUCCUACAUACUAUGAACUGUUUUUAACUAUUGUUUCCUUGAUCUAAUUAUGUCUAACUUUUUAUAAUGUUUAAUGUACCAGUAGUACUGGGCCAGGGCCUGGCAAGUACAAAGUUAUAAGUUAGAUCCCUGGCACCAAAACAAAAAGAAUAGCUAAUAUAUGGCAGUAUUUUCUUUCCUUUGACACAGAGUAUGUAACUCAGAUUGGCCUUGAGCUCAUUAUGUAGCACAGGCUCUUCUCAAACUGCAGGAAUCCUCCUGCCUCAGGGUGCAGGGAUUACAAGCAUGCUCACCUCACUUAAUUUCAAUCUCUUUUUCUUAUCAGUGUCUUUUGACUUUUCUGUCAACAGGUUGUAUUGUGUAAUAAAAUGUCCUUAUUUUAACAACAGGA